AGCAGAGACACAGUCACGGUCGGUUUUUUGGCACAUGUUUAAUGAAGUAGUUGUGGAUGUACAGGUUGUGAACCCCAUCACUAUGGUUACCGAGUCGUUUGAUGUUUCUGUUUAGGGUUUGUGUUUGUGUUGAUGAGGUUUUUAGUUCAUUCAUUAUUCAGUUAAUGAAUUAAUCCAUUUAUUCAUCUUUUUCAGGUGAGGACAGCUCUCUACUGGGUCACAGGGUCACUAUAGAGAGACCAUUCACACCACUAUUCACACCCAGAUUCACACCAACAGUGAGGGGAGCCAUGAGAUCAAGGAAAACUGAAGUUUCAGAUUUCUACGUGUUCAGGGGCCUCGUGGUGACGUUUCCGUUCCAUGACUCACCAUCGUCACCAUGCAGUAGUUCUCCUUCCAGGCUCCGCAGCAGCCGAAGAAGGAAAUGAAGAAAAUCACCACGCCGAUGACGAUGAGAAGGAUGGGAGCUCCUGACGCUGUGGCGUCAUCGAUCAUGAGCGUCUUGUGCAGCGCCACCUGGACCAGGAUUCCCACCACAAUCAAGGCAAGGCCACAUAUC